rnacentral:rRNA from 1 species
GAAACUCGUAUUAAUACCGCAUACGACCUACGGGAGAAAGGGGGCAGUUUACUGCUCUCGCUAUUAGAUGAGCCUAAGUCGGAUUAGCUAGAUGGUGGGGUAAAGGCCUACCAUGGCGACGAUCUGUAGCUGGUCUGAGAGGAUGAUCAGCCACACCGGGACUGAGACACGGCCCGGACUCCUACGGGAGGCAGCAGUGGGGAAUAUUGGACAAUGGGGGAAACCCUGAUCCAGCCAUGCCGCGUGUGUGAAGAAGGCCUUUUGGUUGUAAAGCACUUUAAGCAGUGAAGAAGACUCUGUGGUUAAUACCCACAGACGAUGACAUUAGCUGCAGAAUAAGCACCGGCUAACUCUGUGCCAGCAGCCGCGGUAAUACAGAGGGUGCAAGCGUUAAUCGGAAUUACUGGGCGUAAAGGGAGCGUAGGUGGCUCGAUAAGUCAGAUGUGAAAUCCCCGGGCUCAACCUGGGAACUGCAUCUGAUACUGUCGUGCUAGAGUAUGUGAGAGGAAGGUAGAAUUCCAGGUGUAGCGGUGAAAUGCGUAGAGAUCUGGAGGAAUACCGAUGGCGAAGGCAGCCUUCUGGCAUAAUACUGACACUGAGGCUCGAAAGCGUGGGUAGCAAACAGGAUUAGAUACCCUGGUAGUCCACGCCGUAAACGAUGUCUACUAGUCGUUGGGUCCCUUGAGGACUUAGUGACGCAGCUAACGCAAUAAGUAGACCGCCUGGGG